rnacentral:pre_miRNA from 1 species
GGAAGAAGACGACAUGGCGUGGUAUUGUUUCGGCUCAUGUCCUUCUUGCUUCGAGUCUGUCGUCGGAUUUUGGAUGUGAUGUGAGCCGAACCAAUAUCACUCAUGUAUUCUUCAUU